UACGAAGGGGGCGAGCGUUGUUCGGAAUCACUGGGCGUAAAGGGCGCGUAGGCGGCCCUUCUUGUCGCGUGUGAAAGCCCCGGGCUCAACCUGGGAAUGGCGCGCGAGACGGGGGGGCUGGAGUUCGGGAGAGGAGCGUGGAAUUCCCAGUGUAGAGGUGAAAUUCGUAGAUAUUGGGAAGAACACCGGUGGCGAAGGCGGCGCUCUGGACCGAGACUGACGCUGAGGCACGAAAGCUAGGGGAGCGAACGGG
rnacentral:rRNA from 1 species